rnacentral:rRNA from 1 species
UAGGGAAUCUUCGGCAAUUGACGAAAGUCUGACCGAGCAACGCCGCGUGAGUGAAGAAGGUUUUCGGAUCGUAAAACUCUGUUGUUAGAGAAGAACAAGGACGUUAGUAACUGAACGUCCCCUGACGGUAUCUAACCAGAAAGCCACGGCUAACUACGUGCCAGCAGCCGCGGUAAUACGUAGGUGGCAAGCGUUGUCCGGAUUUAUUGGGCGUAAAGCGAGCGCAGGCGGUUUCUUAAGUCUGAUGUGAAAGCCCCCGGCUCAACCGGGGAGGGUCAUUGGAAACUGGGAGACUUAGGGGCAGAAGAGGAGGGUGGAAUUCCAUGUGUAGCGGUGAAAUGCGUAGAUAUAUGGAGGAAAACCAGUGGAGAAGGCGGCUCUCUGGUCUGUAACUGACGCUGAGGCUCGAAAGCGUGGGGAGCAAACAGG